GCCUAUGCUAACACUUAGGAACAGGCUUGGACACUGUCCUAGGAGUCUGAUGCAAGGUGAAUGGAGACCAGAACUGCAUAUAGAAAGUGCUCGUUAUGUCUCGACGAGGUUGUCACUCCUGAAUGAGUAAAGAGCACUAAAUAUGGAAUUCUCAGCUGCCAUAACACUGGUAUUUACUAGCUGAGUGUCUUAGAACAGCUACUCUCUUGAGUGCUUAAGGCCAAAAACUGGAAAUAACUGUCACUGGAAUCAUGUAUCUUAUAAAGGUUCUCAGCUCAACGUAUAGAUUCUAGUGGUUUCUGGUGCACCUGGGUUUGUCAUAAUUCUCCAUUCUACCAUUUGUCUUCAUGCCCCUACAUGGGGACCUGAUUCCCCUCUGCCUCCUUUGUAACAAACGGUACCUGUGAUUUCGUCUCGGUCUCUUGUAUAACCACAACAGUCUACCAGAUAUCCAAAACUUUUUUAGACUCGGGUCACCCAGUCAUCUGUCGUUUGCUAGCGACAAGAAUCAGGGUAUGAGCAUUCUGACAGCCUCACCAUUGCUCAGUUCCAGUCAGCACAAUUGGCUUCUUUGCAAAGCUUUAGACUGUGCCUAUAUAUUUUGAGUUAGUCUACUAUAGACACUGGUUUGCUAAAACGUGCAGCUACUUGGAUAUGUUGUAACAAUAAUAAAUAGAAAAGGGACAAUAAGGAAUGUUCAAAGGUCACUAGUAUGCUUUUCAAAUCUUGGGUUUAUUUUAUAAUUAAAAAUGUAUUUUGAAAGGACUUGGGAAAGCUAAGACCUACCACUGCUGCUUUAGCUUAAUUUGAAGAAAGACAUUAUAACAGAAGCUUGGACCUCCGCUUUCUUAGUUCAGGAUACCAAGAAUAGGCAGAAGGCUGGCUUUAGAAAGCGCUUAGUGCCAUGAUUUCCACCUUGACAAAGAGUUUUUGGUGUAGUUUCACAGGGAUUCUUGGUGUGAAAAGAAUGAUGGGGUAAGCAAGUUUGAUUACAGCUCCACUUGGGGUAAUUUCAGUUGUCAUAAAAAGGUUCAUCCCUAGGGCUGGGGAUGCCCCCCAGCUUGUAGAAUGCCUGCCUGGUACGCAUGAAGCUUUGGGUUCAGUCUGUCACCACGUAAACCAGGUAUGGUUGGCACACUAGCCUGGGCUCUGUGCUACUUUGUCUCAAAAAACAAAAGCUACCUCCAAAGUACUACAAUUCAGUGGCCAGCUCUCCUGAACCCGUUUUUGUCGGUGCAUGUCAUAUACAGUCAUCACACUUAAGAAAAAUCCCACUCUCAAACAUCCCUGUUUUAUUUAAAGGACUGUCCCCACCUGAAAUGGACACUUCUUGGGAGGGAAAAAUGGCUAACCACAAUUCACAGCAAGCAAUUGUUAUUAUAAGCUUGUGGUUACUGUAACCACAACAAAAAAGUAAAAGUUGUUCUUAGGAGACUAAGUGAAAAGAUCUAAGAACUGAAUCCAAGUGUGUAUCUCCUUGGCUGGAGGUGGCUUCUCUUGUGUUUAGUUUGCUUUUAAUAUUUUAAAACUAGGGUGGAUUUGUCUUCUCUAAAAUAGAGAAGCGUUGAGUCACAUGACAGCAUGUUAGAGGAAAUGUUUUUAUGCAAUACGUCAUAUUUAAAUUGUGCUUUUGGGAAGAAAGUAAAAAGGGGAAGAGGCUAGGGGAAAGCAAAGGCAAAUGGAACAUGAUUGCCGUGCUCCUUGGAUUCUCAAUUCCUCUCUAAAGCCCCAGGGACUACAAUGUCCUCCCAUUUUUGUCUCUGAAGUAUAGGCAGAAUAAUUCUGCUGGACACAAGUUUUAGACAUAAUGUCUCGUUUAAAAAGAUAGUUUGAAACAGUGUGAUGCCCUUAGUUAUAAAAUUCCACGGCUGGCAAAUCGACAGUGACAGCCAUGUUUUGUUUGACUGCCUGGAGUUUCUGGUUGCUGGCUUCCCCCACUCUCCACUGCAUUCGGUUGAGCACUCUUCCAUCGCCCCUGGAGCUCGGAGAACACACUGAAACAGCCAGGGAACAGCCUCCUGCUGCCUCCCUGACGACAGACACCAUGGACAGCUCUUCGAGCGCCACCCAGCCGGCGCGGGGUGCACACCGUCCCCCGCCUCGCACUCGCCCAUCGCCCAUCAGGUCUGCGGAGGCGGCAGGGGGUGGUCCUGAUGCCCGACUCGAGCACGAAUCAACACGGGCUCCCCCAGCUCUUUCCUGAAGUCCCUCCCUGUCGCCCGCGGGGAGGGCAGAGCUACAGGGCUCCACGCGAGGAGGACGGACCCUCCCUCUGCCGGCUCCCCUGGCCGUGCCACCUUCCCACUCCCGGGGCGACGGAGGCUCGCUUCACGGACCCAGGACGCGGCGGCCGCAGGAACCCGGUGACCAGUAAGCGCCCUGCUCGGCAGCACGGUCCCGCGUGGGCGGAAACGGCUCCGCCCUUUCACCCUAAGGGGCGGGCCUUCCGCCUGGGCAGCGGCGCAAUGCGGAAGAGCUGGACCUGCUGGAGCGGAAGUGACGCUUCGGGCGGCUGUAGCGGCGGAGGCUGCGGGAGAAGGAGGAGGAGGAGCCGGAGGAAGAGGGCUGCCUCUGAAGAAAGGAGAAUGGCGUUCAGCAAAGGAUUUCGAAUCUACCACAAAUUGGAUCCCCCACCGUUCAGCCUCAUAGUGGAAACUAGGCAUAAGGAAGAAUGUCUCAUGUUCGAGUCUGGGGCUGUGGCUGUGCUCUCAUCUGCAGAAAAGGAGGCUAUUAAAGGCACAUAUGCCAAAGUACUGGAUGCAUACGGACUUUUGGGAGUUUUACGAUUAAAUCUUGGUGAUACCAUGCUGCACUAUCUGGUCCUAGUCACUGGAUGCAUGUCUGUGGGGAAAAUCCAAGAAUCUGAAGUUUUCCGAGUUACUUCCACUGAGUUUAUAUCAUUGCGAGUUGAUGCUUCAGAUGAGGACCGCAUUUCGGAAGUACGAAAAGUUUUGAACUCGGGAAACUUUUAUUUUGCAUGGUCUGCAUCUGGAGUCAGCUUAGAUCUGAGUCUGAAUGCACAUCGAAGCAUGCAAGAGCACACAACCGACAAUAGGUUUUUCUGGAAUCAGUCUCUGCAUUUGCAUCUCAAGCACUAUGGUGUGAACUGCGAUGACUGGUUAUUACGGCUCAUGUGUGGGGGAGUAGAGAUUAGAACCAUUUAUGCUGCCCAUAAACAGGCAAAAGCUUGCCUCAUCUCAAGACUAAGCUGUGAACGAGCUGGGACAAGGUUCAAUGUCCGGGGAACCAACGAUGAUGGUCAUGUUGCCAACUUUGUAGAGACAGAGCAGGUUAUAUACUUAGAUGACUGUGUCUCUUCCUUCAUACAAAUCCGAGGAUCUGUUCCAUUGUUCUGGGAGCAACCAGGGUUGCAAGUGGGAUCCCAUCGUGUUCGUAUGUCAAGGGGAUUUGAAGCCAAUGCGCCUGCCUUUGACAGGCAUUUCCGAACACUUAAGGACUUAUAUGGUAAACAGAUAGUAGUGAAUCUGCUUGGGUCUAAGGAAGGCGAGCAUAUGCUGAGCAAGGCUUUCCAGAGUCAUUUAAAAGCCUCUGAACACGCUUCUGAUAUCCACAUGGUGUCUUUUGACUAUCAUCAAAUGGUUAAAGGAGGAAAGGCAGAAAAACUACACAGUAUUCUCAAACCACAAGUCCAGAAGUUUCUAGAUUAUGGAUUUUUUUAUUUCGAUGGCAGUGAAGUUCAAAGGUGCCAGAGUGGUACAGUUCGAACAAACUGCUUGGAUUGUCUGGAUAGAACAAAUAGUGUGCAGGCAUUCCUUGGCUUAGAGAUGCUCGCUAAGCAGCUGGAAGCUCUGGGCUUGGCUGAGAAGCCUCAGCUGGUGACCCGCUUCCAAGAAGUUUUCCGGUCCAUGUGGUCUGUGAAUGGCGACUCAAUCAGUAAAAUAUAUGCAGGCACCGGGGCCCUGGAAGGGAAGGCCAAGGCUGGAAAGUUAAAAGAUGGUGCGCGAUCUGUCACCAGAACCAUCCAGAAUAACUUCUUCGACAGCUCCAAGCAGGAAGCCAUUGAUGUCCUGCUCCUGGGAAAUACUCUCAACAGCGAUUUAGCUGACAAAGCCCGAGCGCUUCUAACUACUGGAAGUUUGCGUGUUUCUGAACAGACAUUACAGUCAGCAUCUUCCAAAGUCUUAAAGAACAUGUGUGAGAACUUCUACAAAUACUCAAAGCCCAAGAAGAUCCGAGUGUGUGUUGGCACCUGGAAUGUGAACGGCGGGAAGCAGUUCCGCAGCAUAGCGUUCAAGAACCAGACGCUCACAGACUGGCUUCUGGACGCUCCCAAGUUAGCCGGCAUCCAGGAGUUUCAAGAUAAGAGAAGUAAGCCAACUGAUAUAUUUGCAAUUGGCUUUGAAGAAAUGGUGGAGCUGAAUGCUGGGAACAUUGUGAAUGCAAGCACAACCAACCAGAAGCUGUGGGCAGUGGAGCUGCAGAAGACCAUCUCCAGGGACAACAAGUAUGUCCUGCUGGCCUCGGAGCAGCUGGUGGGUGUCUGCCUGUUUGUCUUUAUCAGACCACAGCACGCUCCUUUUAUCAGGGAUGUUGCAGUUGAUACUGUGAAAACUGGCAUGGGAGGUGCAACUGGAAACAAGGGCGCCGUUGCAAUUCGGAUGCUCUUCCACACCACCAGCCUUUGCUUCGUCUGCAGCCACUUUGCUGCAGGGCAGUCCCAAGUCAAAGAGAGAAAUGAAGAUUUUGUAGAAAUAGCACGAAAACUGAGUUUCCCCAUGGGACGAAUGCUCUUCUCCCAUGACUAUGUAUUUUGGUGUGGUGAUUUCAACUAUCGAAUUGACCUUCCGAAUGAAGAGGUUAAAGAGCUCAUAAGACAACAAAACUGGGAUUCUCUGAUCGCUGGGGAUCAGCUCAUCAACCAGAAAAAUGCAGGACAGAUCUUUAGAGGAUUCUUAGAGGGAAAAGUAACGUUUGCUCCAACCUAUAAAUAUGACUUGUUUUCUGAAGACUAUGACACCAGUGAGAAGUGUCGCACCCCUGCUUGGACAGACCGUGUCCUCUGGAGAAGGAGGAAGUGGCCUUUUGACAGAUCAGCUGAAGAUUUAGAUCUCCUGAAUGCUAGUUUCCAAGAUGAAAGUAAAAUUCUUUAUACAUGGACCCCUGGCACCUUGCUGCACUAUGGAAGAGCCGAGCUGAAGACUUCUGACCAUAGGCCCGUCGUUGCCUUGAUUGACAUAGAUAUAUUUGAAGUUGAAGCUGAAGAGAGACAAAAAAUUUAUAAAGAAGUUAUUGCCGUCCAGGGCCCACCAGAUGGCACAGUGCUGGUCUCAAUCAAAAGUUCUGCACAAGAAAGUACUUUUUUUGAUGAUGCUUUGAUUGAUGAGCUUCUGCGGCAGUUUGCACACUUUGGUGAAGUUAUACUCAUAAGAUUUGUAGAAGAUAAAAUGUGGGUUACAUUUUUGGAGGGAAGCUCUGCCUUGAAUGCUCUGAGCCUAAAUGGGAAAGAGCUAUUAAAUCGGACUAUAACAAUUACUUUAAAAAGUCCAGACUGGAUCAAACAUUUGGAAGAAGAGAUGAGUUUAGAGAAAAUCAGUGUCACGUUGCCCUCAUCAGCAAGCUCCACCCUGCUUGGUGAAGACGCAGAGGUCGCAGCAGACUUUGACAUGGAAGGUGACGUCGAUGACUACAGCGCUGAAGUAGAGGAGCUUCUUCCUCAGCAUCUGCAGCCGUCCUCAAGUUCUGGCCUGGGCACUUCUCCAAGUUCUUCACCCCGGACCAGUCCCUGCCAGUCCCCCACAGUACCAGAGUACUCCGCCCCUUCUCUUCCCAUCAGACCUAGCCGAGCACCGUCAAGAACUCCAGGACCUCCAAGUUCGCAGGGCUCUCCAGUUGACACUCAGCCAGCGGCCCAGAAGGAUUCUUCCCAGACUCUAGAGCCCAAGAGACCACCCCCUCCCCGCCCAGUCGCUCCUCCGGCACGUCCUGCCCCACCACAGAGACCACCUCCACCUUCAGGGGCUAGGAGUCCUGCGCCUGCUAGAAAAGAAUUUGGAGGUGUUGGAGCCCCUCCCAGUCCCGGGGUUGCUAGGAGAGAGAUAGAAGCACCCAAAAGCCCUGGAACAGCACGGAAAGAUAAUAUAGGGCGUAAUCAGCCUUCCCCUCAAGCCGGACUUGCAGGCCCAGGACCCGCUGGAUACGGUGCGGCUAGACCGACAAUUCCAGCUCGUGCUGGAGUGAUCAGCGCCCCUCAGAGCCAGGCUCGGGUAUGUGCUGGAAGGCCGACUCCUGACAGCCAAAGCAAGCCCUCGGAGACAUUGAAAGGUCCUGCUGUCCUUCCAGAACCACUGAAGCCUCAGGCUGCAUUUCCUCAGCAGCCUUCUCUGCCCACACCUGCUCAAAAGUUACAGGACCCGCUUGUCCCCAUAGCAGCACCUACUAUGCCUCCCUCUGGCCCCCAACCAAAUUUGGAAACCCCCCCACAGCCCCCACCUCGGAGCAGGUCAUCUCAAAGCUUGCCUUCAGACUCCUCACCACAGCUGCAGAAUCAGUGCUCAUAGAAAAAUGAAAUGUCCCCUUCCAUUUUAAAUCAUCAUUGGAAUGAGUUAUCUGUCUUGCCUGACAGGGUGAGCAAGGUAAAAAUAAAUGGCAUUUCUGGUGUCAAACAAGAGCCAACAUUGAAGAGUGACCCAUUUGAAGAUCUCUCACUUAGUGUGCUUGCUGUAUCAAAGGCUCAGCCUUCUGUUCAGAUUUCACCUGUUCUAACCCCAGACCCAAAGAUGUUGAUUCAGUUGCCUUCUGCAUCGCAAAGUCAAGUUAACCCUUUGAGUUCUGUAAGUUGCAUGCCAACCAGGCCUCCAGGUCCAGAGGAAAGCAAGUCACAGGAGAGUAUGGGCAGUUCUGCAAACCCGUUUCCCAGCCUGCCCUGCCGGAACCCUUUUACAGACAGGACUGCUGCCCCUGGAAACCCAUUUAGAGUUCAGUCCCAAGAAUCAGAGGCAACUUCUUGGCUCUCCAAAGAAGAGCCUGUUCCCAACAGUCCCUUCCCUCCUCUCAUGCCUCUCAGUCAUGACACGAGCAAGGCUUCAAGUUCGCUUGGUGGCUUUGAGGACAAUUUUGAUCUGCAGAGCCAGUCUACAGUAAAAACAAGCAACCCCAAAGGAUGGGUAACCUUUGACGAAGACGACAACUUUCCUACAACAGGAAAGUCAAAGUCAGUUUGUCCAGACUUAGUGGGUAACGCGCCAGCUUCAUUUGAUGAUGACUGGAGUAAAGGUGCGAGCGUUUCUUUCUGUGUGUUGCCAGCCAGAAGGCCACCACCACCACCACCUCCUGUCCCUCUGCUACCACCUGGCACAACCUCAUCUGCAGGACCUAGCACAACCCUGCCAUCUAAGGCACCUUCCACAUUGGACUUCACGGAAAGAUAAUUAAGUAGGGAGGGCGGGAGUUUCUCCUCGUGUGUUUGGCUGUUUGUUUCUGUUUUGUCAGGGUGGAUCCAAGAGAAUGGGGCAUUAGUCAGUCAUGUGCAAUAAAUGAUCAGUAAGAGCACUGAUAUUUAUAUAAAAUACCACUGGAGGAUGUGGAGAAAGCUGGAAUUUGUGUAUAUCAGAAAUAACAAAGACAUCCUCUUAUUAACUGGAGUUCUACUUUUUCUCUUCAGAUGAAUAGAAUAGAGCAGGAACUAUUUUUAAAAGUGCUUAAAACUACUCUAGAAAAUAGUCCUUAUUCGCAUAGUCACAUAAAAAUCACGUAAAGCCCACACAACUGCAGCUGACAGGACUGCAGCCCAUUGUGCUGUUGAGGAUUGGUAGUCAUGGAUACUUACCAAAGAGCUUCCAGAGUUCUGGUGAGAUUGUUGUGAAAGGCAUCACUUUAGUCAAAAGGUCUGUGUAUGUGUACACUAUGAGUAUAUGUCUGUAUUUAUGCACACAAACAUGUAUACAUCCACAUACUUAUAAAACUUGAUAUAAUUCAGAUCAAAUUUUACCUAACAGUUCUGACAAUGUCCUUUUUUCAAUAUCUGUCAAGAAGAUGGCCGCCACCGGCUGUGCUUUCUAUAUUUUGACUGAUUGUGCAUCCUGGAGUAGAAUAAUCCCUUUAGAGAACUGCCAUUUCCUAUUAUUCUCUACCCCAGCCCUUCAGAGUCACCCUCAUUACCUUCCUCCUCUGUACCUCUAUGAUGCCUUUCUCUGGGCAUUUACAGUUGGCCGUCUGGACGUGGUCGGUCACGUGGACAGAUAGAAGAGUGGGCGCACACCACCAGCUUCACGGAGGAACAUUGUCCGUGUGCUCUUUUCUCUGCGUGGCCCUUUGCCCUUCCAUACCUUUCUGUUUGCCAGUUGCCUGGAGCUCUGCUUUCAGCUGUUGAGUGGUCUGAAUUAGGAACAUGUCCAGUGUAUGUUCUCCCAUGUAAGAGGCUACAUAGCACAUCCAUGAUGCUGCUUUAAGGCUUUAGAGGCUAUACCUCAAAUUAGCUGUGGAUUUUGUCUCCUGCACUGCCAGUAUGCAACUGAUCUUACGUUUAUUAAUUUUGUGGGAAAAAAUACAUGGAAUUUUUACAAAAAAACAAAAACAAAAAACAAACAAACAAAAAAAAAACAAAACAACAAAAACAUAGUAUUUUGAUAUCAUUAGUUAAGCCAGUCAGAAAACUCCCUAAGCUAUUGUUUGGUCAGUUGGUUGUCAGUCAGCUGAAGUUAAAACAUCCUUACCCAUUAAGACUUAAUGUUCUCUUUAUAUAAAAAGAGAGUUAUGUGCUUACACCCACGUUCCUACAUCUACCUACCUGAACCUUUAAAGAUGUGUAUUGUAAGAUUAGAAAGGACGUAUGGCUGCCCUCACCUCCGUGUAAAAGCACAGCAGGCUGCAUCGCACUUCUCUCCUAGAGCAGAUCUGUUAGGACAGAGCACCUUUGCAAAUGCUCAGUGUUAUCACAAUCCUGUGUUUAUAGAAGUAACUCUGCUGCAGCCAUCACUCGCUGUUAGCAAUAACUCUUGUGAGUUUUAGAUCGUGCUUGUUGGGGUUCUAAUCAUUUCAACAGUAGUAGCUUUUAAACUGCAGUAUUACUAGAGCAGUGUGCUUCAAAAUGUGAAUUAACUUGUUGAGAUUGUGGCUGUAACAUCUGUGUGAGUAGUGUGUAUGGUAUCCACUCCCCAUUAGCAAGCUAAUCCACUUUAGAAAACUGAAGCAGUGUGGAUCGCAGCCCUGAGCAGUGACUCCCUCAGGUGUGAACCACUGUAAUGUCUGCAGAGCAAUAGCUCUGCCUUGUCAGGAAGUCUGGUAGCUGCUGAAACGCACAAAGCAAGUUAAAGUUUGCUACAAAGAACUCGACAUCGUGUGUAUUUGCCAGGUCUGGUCAAAGCAGAAAACAGACACUAAGAAUCUCUGUGAGUCUCUGUUCUCUCUAGUAGAUUGCUGUUUAUAUGUAUGUAAGAGGUUUAUCGCUUAUGUGGCAUACAGUAUUUAUAACUAUAUACUUUAUAGAAGUACAGUAUUAAAGUUGCUGGUAUACAUUCUGUACAUAUCUUGUGAGAUGUGCUGUCAUAUGAAAUAAAUAUGUCUUUAUCACCAGCUGA